rnacentral:ncRNA from 2 species
GUGUAUUACAGAGGUCGCGAUUAGUCAAGAGUACUGAAAAGGAAAGGGACUGUUGCCGAAGCUUAGAAUUUUUAAGUUGGGGCUAUGCUGAACAAGUAUAGAACUGUCCGAAACGGACCCACCGUGGAAGGGAGUACUGUGAUACAU